rnacentral:rRNA from 1 species
GGGAAUAUUGCACAAUGGGGGAAACCCUGAUGCAGCAACGCCGCGUGAGUGAUGACGGCCUUCGGGUUGUAAAGCUCUGUCUUCAGGGACGAUAAUGACGGUACCUGAGGAGGAAGCCACGGCUAACUACGUGUCAGCAGCCGCGGUAAUACGUAGGUGGCGAGCGUUGUCCGGAUUUACUGGGCGUAAAGGGAGCGUAGGCGGACUUUUAUGUGAGAUGUGAAAUACUCGGGCUCAACUUGAGUGCUGCAUUUCAAACUGGAAGUCUAGAGUGCAGGAGAGGAGAAUGGAAUUCCUAGUGUAGCGGUGAAAUGCGUAGAGAUUAGGAAGAACACCAGUGGCGAAGGCGAUUCUCUGGACUGUAACUGACGCUGAGGCUCGAAAGCGUGGGGAGCAAACAGG